GGGAGAUCUCCGCCGUCGAAGACCCAGAUGGCUCGGAGUGUUCCUGUUGGCCGGGAAACCUGCCUUGCUAUCAGUCGGGCAGCAGCAAGUGUGUGAUGGCGUUGAGACCUCUUUCCCUCCUGCCGUCCCUUAGGUGACUUCCUGUGUUUGGAGGACAUGGAUGGUUCUGGAGGGGUGGAGAUUCUCUCUGGUGUUGCUGAGGAACAUGAUAACUCCUGGCUUUCCUCCCUGUCCUCCAUCCUAAAGGAACACACACACACACUUGAAAUGACUCCCUGGGAUUGAAACUAUAGAUAUCAUUGGUUGGUUAACCGCAUAUAGUGCAGUAGAGUGACUUGUGUCACAAUGUAGCUAGCUAACAACACCAUGCAAAUUGAGGCUACAGGGCAAACUAAUCAUAGUGGGCAGAACAAGCAUUGAGGUGGGCAGGGCCAAAAUAGUGAGAUCCUAUUGGCGUGUUCUAGAGAACGCCUACCCGCCAUCCAUCACAGGAUCCUUCUGAGCCUGUGUAGGGACCUGAUUAAAACAGAAAGGCAGGCUGAUUUAGUUUAAUUAACAUUUCAUUACUGAUAGUUUGUAUGGAUUUUUUUUACCGUGCAUUUUUUGGUGGGGGAUCCUUGUUAUCCACCUGUACAAUAGGUGGCGGAAUGCCCAUAUAAUUGUUGCGAACGCCAUUAUACCAAAGAAGAAGACGCAAAAGAGAACGCCUAUUGGCUGUGAGGGAGACACCUCCCUCUUGGGCUAGCACCUCACCAGGCACCACGUCUGUCUGCUAGUCCAGAUCGCCCGCUGGUCCGACGACCGCCUCCUCUGGCCUGUGGUGGUUCUGACUGGGCUAGACCACUACUGGACCACCAACAACCUGGGUCAUGUUCCCGGUCCGACUGAGACCACUUUUCUCUGGGGUGAAGUUAGAGAUCUAGGAUCAGCUUCCCGGGCUCCCCCAAUCCUGACCGUAGCCAUUAGUGGGCAAAAUGCUAAACUCACCCAGCAUCUCCAUCUAGGGGCAACUUCACCCUACACCAUGAGGACUCCAUGCUGGGAUCUAAAGAUUGUGCUCUUAGUGGUCGUCUCUCUGCUGUGGAUAGUGGCCCUGCUCUAUGUGUUCCUAGUGUCUGGGGGUCAUUCUAGUGUUGGGGAACCAGUCUCCUCACCAGCUGCAUCAGUGCUGGGUGUUCACUAGCGCUCGUACCUCAGUUGGCCAAAGUGCUGCUACUGACUGUGGCCUGUGCAGUGCUGUAUGUUCAUAGCCACACAGGGUCUCCUAUGGGUAUCCACAGG
rnacentral:lncRNA from 1 species